UACGGGGGGGGUAAGCGUUGUUCGGAAUUACUGGGCGUAAAGGGCUCGUAGGCGGCCAACUAAGUCAUACGUGAAAUCCCUCAGCUUAACUGGGGAACUGCGUGUGAUACUGGAUGGCUUGGAUUUGGGGAGGAGGAUGCGGAAUUCCAGGUGUAGCGGUGAAAUGCGUAGAUAUCUGGAGGAACACCGGUGGCGAAGGCGGCAUCCUGGACCAAUAUUGACGCUGAGGAGCGAAAGCUAGGGGAGCAAACGGG
rnacentral:rRNA from 1 species